rnacentral:rRNA from 1 species
CCUACGGGGGGCAGCAGUGGGGAAUAUUGCUCAAUGGGCGAAACCCUGAACCAGCAACGCCGCGUGAAGGAUGAAGGUUCUAGGAUUUUUAACUCCUUUUUUGAGAGAAGUUAAUGACGGUAUCUGUCGCAUAAGCACCGGCUAACUCCGUUCCAGCAGCCGCGGUACUACGGAGGGUGCAAGCGUUAUUCGGAAUCACUGGGCGUAAAGAGUGCGCAGUCGGGCUUGUAAGUCAGAUGUGAAAUCCUGUAGCUCAACUACAGAAGUGCAUUUGAAACUAUGAGUCUAGAGUGUGGGAGAGGUAGGUGGAAUUCUUGGUGUAGGGGUGAAAUGCGUAGAUAUCACGAAGAAUACUGAUUGCGAAGGCGACCUACUGGACCAUUACUGACGCUGAUGCACGAAAGCGUGGGGAGCAAACAGGAUUAGAUACCCCUGUAGUC